UUGAACGCUGGCGGAAUGCUUUACACAUGCAAGUCGAACGCUUGUAGCAAUACAAGAGUGGCGCACGGGUGAGUAACAUGUGGGAAUAUGCCUUUUGGUACGGGACAACUCCGGGAAACUGGAGCUAAUACCGUAUGGUCCCUUCGGGGUAAAGAUUUAUCGCCAAAAGAUUAGCCCGCACUGGAUUAGCUAGUUGGUGAGGUAAUGGCUCACCAAGGCGACGAUCCAUAGCUGGUCUGAGAGGACGAUCAGCCACACUGGGACUGAGACACGGCCCAGACUCCUACGGGAGGCAGCAGUUAGGAAUAUUGGACAAUGGGCGCAAGCCUGAUCCAGCCAUGCCGCGUGAGUGAUGAAGGCCUUCGGGUUGUAAAACUCUUUAGCCGACGAAUAUAAUGACUGUAGUCGGAGAAUAAGCCCCGGCUAACUUCGU
rnacentral:rRNA from 1 species